rnacentral:rRNA from 1 species
UACGUAGGUGGCAAGCGUUAUCCGGAAUUAUUGGGCGUAAAGGGUGCGUAGGCGGUUUAGUGUGUCUCAUGUGAAAUCUCAGGGCUUAACCCUGGGCUGCAUGAGAAACUAUUAGACUAGAGUGCAGGAGAGGGCAACGGAAUUCCAUGUGUAGCGGUAAAAUGCGUAGAUAUAUGGAGGAACACCGGUGGCGAAGGCGGUUGCCUGGCCUGUAACUGACGCUGAAGCACGAAAGCGUGGGGAGCAAAUAGG